rnacentral:rRNA from 1 species
UACGAAGGGGGCUAGCGUUGCUCGGAAUCACUGGGCGUAAAGGGUGCGUAGGCGGGUCUUUAAGUCAGGGGUGAAAUCCUGGAGCUCAACUCCAGAACUGCCUUUGAUACUGAAGAUCUUGAGUUCGGGAGAGGUGAGUGGAACUGCGAGUGUAGAGGUGAAAUUCGUAGAUAUUCGCAAGAACACCAGUGGCGAAGGCGGCUCACUGGCCCGAUACUGACGCUGAGGCAC